GUCAAGUCCGUAUUUGUCAAAAAAAAACAAAUGUCUAUGAAACAAAUGUCUAUAGAGUUUGGUACUGAUAGAACCCUUUGAUCAAUGCAGCUUAGAUUUACUGAAAAGCCGCGCUCUGGAUGUGACUUGAGGAGCCCACGGAACGCUUGCUGUGUGUCCCUGAUGGGUGCGGCUGGUGCUGGGAGUCCCUGGCGUGUCGAUGGUGCUCGGGGGUGGGCGUCGGGGGCGUCUGCGCGUGUGGCUCCGCCUGUCCCAGCGAGCAGAAGCUCAGACUCCCACAGAGGGCCCCCCAGUUCUGCUCGCACUGGAGCCUCACGCUGCGGGUGAUGGCCUCCUUCACCAGCUCCCCGCAGCCCAGCAAGAUGUUCACCAGCUCCACGUAUGGCCUGUGUGACCAUGAAGCUUGGAGGGAAGACCAUGCUGGAUUGAAAAUGACUUCACACUUACCCCUUGGAGAAGAGGUCCUGGAAGUGAAUCAUCUGCACCAUAACGUUGAUGUUCUCCUUGGCGGCGGAGCAGAGGUUGUGUUUGAC